rnacentral:piRNA from 1 species
CAACCCACUGGAGUUCCAUAAGCCUGUUC